CCUACGGGAGGCAGCAGUGGGGAAUAUUGGGCAAUGGGCGGAAGCCUGACCCAGCAACGCCGCGUGAAGGAAGAAGGCUUUCGGGAUGUAAAACUCUUUUCGCAGGGACGAAGCAAGUGACGGUACUAGGGGAAUAAGCCACGGCUAACUACGUGCCAGAAGCCGCGGAAAUACGUAGGGGGCAGGCGUGAUCCGGAUUUACUGGGUGUAAAGGGGGCGUAGGCGGGAAGGCAAGUCAGAUGUGAAAACCCUGGGCUCAACCUGUGACCUGCAUUUGAAACUGUUUUUCUUGAGUGCUGGAGAGGCAGGCGGAAUUCCUGGUGUAGCGGUGAAAUGCGUAGAUAUUAGGAGGAACCCCGGUGGCGAAGGCGGUCUGCUGGACCGCAACUGACGCUGAGGCGCGAAAGCGUGGGGAGCAAACAGGAUUAGAUACCCUAGUAGUC
rnacentral:rRNA from 1 species